GCGUGCCCUAUCUACCUCCUCUUGGAGCUCCACCUCAUAUUAGGCUCUCACUAGCAUCUUUCAUGAUAGUCAGCUUCUCCUCACAUAAUAAAGUAUUGAUCAACCUCUGUUGGAUGAGCACAUGCUUCACCCUUACCAUGGGGAGAAAUUGCUCUUCCCAUCAUAUCAGUUGAUCUCCAUCUUGAUUGAGCCUAACUUCUCCAUCUUUUUUAAUCC
rnacentral:lncRNA from 1 species